AUGGCCGUUCACAAAGAUGUUAGUUUCCUUGCUUGCUUGCUUGUUCUUGGAUUAAUGUUUCUCCAUGUAAGUGCGACGAUAGACGAAGAUCGUGAUAUCAUCAAUCCCAGGCUUUUGUACUAGAGAAUGUGGUAAUUUUAGCUAUGCGAUAUGUCCACGUUCAGAAGGAGAUCCAAGAAACCCCAUAUGUACCACAUGUUGUACAGGCUACAAGGGUUGCCACUAUUACAGUGCUAACGGAACUUUCAUUUGUGAAGGACAAUCUGACCCAAGAAAGCCAAACGAACGUUGUUCCAAGGAAUGUGAUCGUAAAAUUGCUUAUUCAAAAUGUCCUCGUUCAGAAGGACCGACUAUAAUUAAACCCACUGGAUGCACCACAUGUUGCACGGGUUACAAGGGUUGCUACUAUUACGGUAAAGACAACAAGUUUGUGUGUGAAGGACAGAGUGAUGAACCCAAGGCUUGUACUCAACAAUGUGACCCUAAAGUUGCCUAUAUGACUUGCCCACCUGAAUCGACAAAACUUACUCGAAUUUGUGUCAAUUGUUGUACCGCAAAACCUGGGUGCAAACUCUAUGGUCAUGAUGGAUCUUUAAUUUGUAUCGGUGGCGUUAAAGGUCAUUAAUAGUUCUCAGUAAUAUGUAUGAAAUAAAAGUAUGACGAUGCAUGCAUUAUUGUCAUGCUAAUCUAUGUAAUGUGGGCAUUGGAGCUUUUUCCACCGCUUGCGCAAUAAAUUAAUAAAAUCUUUUACUUC